rnacentral:rRNA from 1 species
UACGUAGGGUCCGAGCGUUGUCCGGAAUUAUUGGGCGUAAAGAGCUCGUAGGCGGUUUGUCGCGUCUGCUGUGAAAUCCCGAGGCUCAACCUCGGGCCUGCAGUGGGUACGGGCAGACUGGAGUGCGGUAGGGGAGAAUGGAAUUCCUGGUGUAGCGGUGGAAUGCGCAGAUAUCAGGAGGAACACCGAUGGCGAAGGCGGUUCUCUGGGCCGUAACUGACGCUGAGGAGCGAAAGCGUGGGGAGCGAACAGG